GUUCAGUCCGCCAUUGCAAACACGAAGCUCUUCCAGAAACGCCCUCACAGACACCCCGGAAGUCACGUACCCACUCUGUAGGUGCCCCGGGGCACAGGCAAGCGGACGAGCCAGUUAUCCCUCAGAGCUCCUGCUGCCUCGCCCGCUUUCUCUCGGAAACGUGAAGUGUGGCCUCAGCUGAAAGUGAGGUGGGCCUCAUUCAAUCAGUUGAAUUCUUCAAGAGAGAAAAACUGAAGUCCCUUAGAAGGAAAGAGUUCUGCCUUCAGACUGUCUUUGAACUUAAGACUGUAGCGUCGACUCCUGCCGGAAUUUCCAGCCUGCUGGCCAGCUCUGCAGAUUCACACUUGCCAGCCUCCACAAUCUUCCUGGAUUUGAAACUGAAGAAGCAAGCAAUCUGGAAAUGUCAGUGGAUGCACACAAAGAAACAACCGCAAAAGCCUGCUCGCUCUAGCCAAGGGACAAGAAUAGGGGCAGUCCAUCAAGACAGAAUCCUUUUAAAAAAUAACCACUCCACUCCAGCAAUACCACAGAAGAAUCUGGCUGUACCCCAGGUACAUCAGCAAAGAUAACCUUUACCUAGCAGUAAAGAGGUCCCCCUUACACUGGGAGCCCUAGUGAAGAGCAGGGACUUUCACCCCCACCUAGCAGUGAUGGGGCCCCACCCACCACAGUGCCAGCAGAGACCAUGUGGGAGCCAGAAUCCUCAUCCCUACCCAGCAGUAACAAGGAGCCCUCCUCACUGCGGGCAUCAAGGGUGAGUGAGUGCAAAACCUGGGUGUCACUCGGAAGGGAAGAAUGGUGUCUCCUUCCUUCCCAUCCCCUGCCAGAGUGAUAUCACUAGGAAAAAGAAAAUAAUUUAUCACCAGCAAAUCUACCCUACAGCUAAAACAGAGGGCUUAAGUUAGGCCCAGAAUCUCAUGACAUAAUACGAAAAUGUCCAGAAUUUAAUAGAAAAUCACUUAUUCUACUAAAAAUGGAGAGGAUCACACAAUGGGUGAAAAGACAAUCAGUGCAUGCCAUACAAAUUGACAGAGAUGUUGGAAUUAUUUGACAAAGGUUUUAAAACAGCGAUGAAAAUGCUUCAAUAAACAAUUACGAACACACUUAAACAAAGGAAAACAAAGAAAGCCUCAGCAAAGAAAUAGAAAGCCUCAGCAAGGCAAUAGAGAUAUAAAGAAAAAAAAAUGAGUAGACAUUUUAUUAUUUAUUUAUUUAUUUAUUUAUUUGAGAUGGAGUCUCCCUCUGUUGCCCAGGCUGGAGUGCAGUGGCAUGAUCUCGGCUUACUGCAGCCUCUGCCUCCCGGGUUCAAACGAUUCUCCUGCCUCAGCCUCCCGAGGAGCUGAGAUUACAGGCACCCACCACCAUGGCUGGCUAAUUUUUGUAUUUUUAGUAGAGGCGGGGUUUCACCAUGUUGGCCAGGCUGCUCUUGAACUCCUGACCUCAAGUGAUCCACCCACCUCAGCCUCCCAAAGUGCUGGGUUUACAGGCAUGCACCCCCACACCCAGCCUCAAAUAGACAUUUUAGAACUGAAAAAUAUAAUUGAAAUUUUAAAAGCACAGUGAAAUGAGCUCAACAGCAGAAUGAAAUGGACACAGGAAAGAACUGCGAAAUGGAAGAUGGAACAAUGGAAAUAAUCCAACCCGAACAACAUGGAGAAAGUAGAAGAAUAAUAAAACAACAACAAGAACAGCAACAACAAAAAGUGAACCAGCGCCUCAGGGACUUCUGGGAUUAUAAGAAAAGUCUAAAUUUUGUGUCAUUUUGUCCCUGCAGGAGAGGUGAAAGGGGGAGAGGCUGAAAAGUACAUGAAGAAAUAAUGGCUGAAAAUGACCCAAAUUGUUAAGAUACAUAAACCUGCAGAUUCAAGAAGCUGAAAGAUGCUCCAACAGGAUAAACCUAAAGAAAUCUAUGCCAACAUGCAUCAUAAUUAAACUUCUGCAAAGCAAAAAACAAAACAUUUCUGAAAACAGCCAGGGGAAAAGAACACCCAACCUGGAAGGGAAAAACAAUUCGAAUGACAGUGGAUUUGUCAUCAGAAACCAUGGAAGCCAGGAGGAAAUGACACAAUAUUUUUCAGCUACUAAGAGCAAAAAACUGUCAUCCCAAAAUUCUAUACCCAUAAAAAUAUCUUUCAAGAAGGAAGGAGAAAUGAAGACAUUCUCAGAUGAAGGAAAACUGAGAGAAUGUAUCAGCAGCAGACCUAUCCUAACAAAAUAGCUAAAAAGAGUUCUCUAAACAGAAAGGAAAUGAUAAAAAGGAACCUUACAACAUCAAGAAGAAAAAAUGAUGAGCAAAGUAAAUAAAAAUAUGAAUAAAUAUAGUAGGCAGUUUCUUUUUCCUCUUGAGUCUUAUAAAUUACACUUGAUGGUUGAAGCAAAAAUUAUGAUAUCAUUUGAUAUGGUUCUAAAUAUAUGCAGAGGAUAUAUUUAUGACAAUUAUUGAAAGUAAUGGCAAAAACUGUAAUUAUUUUGCACCAACCUAAUAUAAACUGGGGAAAUGAAGGUUCUUAAAGAUAGGCAAGAGUUCUUUAUUUGACUCCACCUAAUAAAAGGAUAA
rnacentral:lncRNA from 1 species